UGUGUUACAAAUUUGUACUGGUUUUAAGCAUUGAUUACUCUUUGUUCAUCUAAAUUCAAUGAAUUAGCUUCUACUUAAAGAUUCCAUAAUCCAACUCAUUACUGUACAAGACAAUUAAAAUUUCUUUUGGUGCUUUAAAUUUAUUGCUAGUUGUUAUAUUAGUGAUAUGUUAAUUGAACUUAGGUACAUGUUAACUAGUCAAAGGCAGAUCCAAAACGUAGCUAUGAGGGUGCAAAAUUAGGCUCAAUAAAAUUAUUUAAAAAAAAAUCGGAAUAAUAUAUAAUUGGUAUACACUAGACCCUAGUGUAGGUAGGGAUACCUACACCCCCUCUAAAUGAUGCGUUUAUCAUGUUACCCACAUCCCAUAACCCACUAACCUACUGUAACUACCCACCAUUCUCUCUAAAACCUUCUUCUUCAUUUCUCUAGACUUUCUCUCUCAUCAAAACCAGAAAAUAUGAACCAAAAUUGCUUCAAAAUACUACGAAAUUGCUUCAAAAUACUACGAAAUUGCUUCAAAAUAUUGCUAAAUUCCUUCAAAUGUCUACAUUUGCGAAGAAAUUCAACAAUCGCAACAACAUUCACAGAAAGAAACCGAAAAAUAUAUUUCGAAUUAGAGAGAUAAAGAGAAUGAGGAUUCAGAGAAGAAUCCUGUUCGUUGAACAUAACAAGGCAUAGUCUGAAGAAACGUGAACCAAAUUAGGAAGCAAGGAUGCGGAACUGAUGCUAUUUGAAGAAAAACACUAAAUAUAGGUUAAAUAGAAGAUAAGCAAGGAAGUUUGCAAAUGAAUAGUACAUGUUAUAUGUUCAUUUAUGAAAGUGUAUAUGUUCAUUAAUGAAUGUGUAUAUGAUCAUAUCUUAUACUUCC